rnacentral:rRNA from 1 species
CCUACGGGAGGCAGCAGUGGGGAAUAUUGCACAAUGGGCGCAAGCCUGAUGCAGCCAUGCCGCGUGUAUGAAGAUGGCCUUCGGGUUGUAAAGUACUUUCAGCGGGGAGGAAGGUGUUGAGGUUAAUAACCUCAGCAAUUGACGUUACCCGCAGAAGAAGCACCGGCUAACUCCGUGCCAGCAGCCGCGGUAAUACGGAGUGUGCAAGCGUUAAUCGGAAUUACUGGGCGUAAAGCGCACGCAGGCGGUCUGUCAAGUCGGAUGUGAAAUCCCCGGGCUCAACCUGGGAACUGCAUUCGAAACUGGCAGGCUAGAGUCUUGUAGAGGGGGGUAGAAUUCCAGGUGUAGCGGUGAAAUGCGUAGAGAUCUGAAGGAAUACCAGUGGCGAAGGCGGCCCCCUGGACAAAGACUGACGCUCAGAUGCGAAAGCGUGGGGAGCAAACAGGAUUAGAUACCCGGGUAGUC